ACAGGAGUUUGUUUUAUUAUGACUCCGUUUAACUAAAUGUGAUAAUCCUUAAGAAUUUUUCUUUAGUUUGCCUAUGACGUCAGUUAUCAAGCACAUGUUAAUCAAAAAUAUAGUACGUGGCAUGGGUUCUAUAGGAAGCCGCGUCUACAAUUAUUUUUUUCACUAAAUACAAGAUGUUUUUCAGAGCUUUUGAACAAACAAAAACAAAGUUUAUAUAUUUUAAAAGUGUUAAACACGUUUUAUUUUUACAGAGUACUUGUUGCAAAGAUAGAGAAUAAGUUGAAUGAGAAGAGAAUCAACCUUUAAAAAACAAACUUUAAUUUCACUUCACUUAAAUCAGGCCUGCCAUAAAAACACAUAAAAUUAAUUUUGUUCCGUAAUUUAUGUAGAUAAUAAGCAGCAAUUUUAGUUAAGAACCAAAAUGAAAGCAUUAAUAAAUCAAAAGAUAAAGUUGUAGAAAAUUGUUAAUUUUGCAUUUCGUUGCAAAAUUUACAAUGUUCUACAACUUAUGUUAGCUGUAUUCAUCAACAAAGAAUCACAUUACUACUCAGCAAAGAAACAUCAGUAAUCCACAAAAAAGAAACAUCUAAAAACAAUUUUAAAAGACGAAUAAUUUAUUCUUUAUUGGUAGUUCGGCUGUUGUAUGUUUAUAUAACAAAUCCUGAAAUCGCUUUUGUAAGUAUGCGUUAAUGAUUUUUAUUAAAA